rnacentral:rRNA from 1 species
CUACGGGUCGCAGCAGUGGGGGAUAUUGCACAAUGGAGGAAACUCUGAUGCAGCGACGCCGCGUGAGUGAUGAAGUAUUUCGGUAUGUAAAGCUCUAUCAGCAGGGAAGAAAGGCUCCGUAUGGAGAGAUGACGGUACCUGAGUAAGAAGCCCCGGCUAACUACGUGCCAGCAGCCGCGGUAAUACGUAGGGGGCGAGCGUUAUCCGGAUUUACUGGGUGUAAAGGGAGGGCGGCGGAUUUGCAAGGCUGAUGUGAAAGCCCGGGGCUCACCCCCGGGACUGCAUUGGAAACUGAGAUCUGGAGUAUUGGAAGGGCAAGCGGAAUUCCUGGUGUAGCGGUGAAAUGCGUAGAUAUCAGGAGGAACACCGGUGGCGAAGGCGGCUUGCUGGACAAUAACUGACGUUGAGGCUCGAAAGCGUGGGGAGCAAACAGGAUUAGAUACCCCUGUAGUC